rnacentral:tRNA from 1 species
AACUAUGAGGGUUAUUAAAGCAGCCCCUUGAUUGGGGAUAUAAGGGCAGCUAAUUGCUUUUUUGCUA